GAAAGCUAAGGCACGGCGUGAUCCUCUCUUCCUUCUCCUUCUAGCUAUGUAAGUAUUUCGCCUUGGGUAGCUUUGGUUUUGGAGUUAUGAGGAGAAUUGCAGAAAUGGGAAAAAAUGGAUUUUUGCUUUGAUGUUCGGUUUCCGGCGAUUUCCGGCCAGAUUAUUUGGGGGUUUUGGUUGUUGGGGAAGUACUGAACGUGUUCCUAACCUUGUUGCAGCUCGUUUUGAUCGGUGGAAGAAGAUUUGAGGGUGUUUGAGACUGUGAACAGUACCAUGAACAGUAACUCUCGAAUUCUUGGGUUCUUUUAUAGAAGUGGUUGUGUGGGUUUUGAAGUUGAUUUUGGAAUAGAUAGGUUGUUUGGUAUAGGUUUUAAACUUUAAGUUUUGUGUUAAACUUGAUAUCGUUGGAUAUUGAGUUUUUGUUGUUGAGCAUGGUUGUUGGAGUUGUCAAUGUUAUUGUGGGAUUGGUCUAUUUUGUUGAGGAAUUUGGUGUUGAGAUUGUGGUUUGGAAAAGAAAAUUUAGAGAGGAUUUGAGAUUUAGAGUUGGAUUUGUGAAUGGAAAUAGGGAAAGUUAAGAAAGAAUGUGGAAAUUUUGGAAAAGGAUUUAUAUUAUAAAUUGGUGGUAAAUUGUGAUGAAGGAAGUGAAAUUAAAAUUGAUUAAGUUAUCGAACGGUCCUUGUGAAGGUUUAGAUUAAGCGAGGUUUUUUUAAUUCGGUUCCUCAACCACUCAAUAACCUCGCUUAAUCUAAACCUUCACAAGGACCGUUCGAUAACUUAAUCAAUUUUAAUUUCACUUCCUUCAUAACAAUUUACCACCAAUUUAUAAUAUAAAUCAUUUUCCAAAAUUUCCACAUUCUUUCUUAACUUUCCCUAUUUCCAUUCACAAAUCCAACUCUAAAUCUCAAAUCCUCUCUAAAUUUUCUUUUCCAAACCACAAUCUCAACACCAAAUUCCUCAACAAAAUAGACCAAUCCCACAAUAACAUUGACAACUCCAAUAACCAUGCUCAACAACAAAAACUCAAUAUCCAACAAUAUCAAGUUUAACACAAAACUCAAAGUUUAAAACCUAUACCAAACAACCUAUCUAUUCCAAAAUCAACUUCAAAACCCACACAACCACUUCUAUACCUGCAGC
rnacentral:lncRNA from 1 species